rnacentral:misc_RNA from 1 species
CCAGCCAUGCUGGCAGAGGUUGCAACAUUUAGAAACAAUGGUAAAUGAGCUGGUUAGCAAACCUACCAAAAUUCCUCCUGAGAAAGAGGACAUGCUUCUUGAAUCUUUGAGUCGGAUUAAAUCUAUAGAACAUGAUCUGCAGAAGACAAAGAAAGCUCUGCUUGCGACUGCAUCAAAACAGGUGGAGCUUGCUGAGUCAUUCGAAAAUCUUAAAGAGAGUACCUUAGCUGGAGUGAAUUCAUGUUGGCCAAGAAAUUGCAAAACUUUUUCCCCAG